AAGAGCACGACAUUGCUCACAUUGCUUCCAGUAUUAGUUGCCCGCCUUGUGCGGGCUUUUUUUU
rnacentral:antisense_RNA from 3 species